GACAAGGUUCCAGGCCCUACGGGGUGCAGCAGGCGCGAAACCUCCGCAAUGUGAGAAAUCGCGACGGGGGGAUCCCAAGUGCCAUUCUUAACGGGAUGGCUUUUCAUUAGUGUAAAGAGCUUUUGGAAUAAGAGCUGGGCAAGACCGGUGCCAGCCGCCGCGGUAACACCGGCAGCUCUAGUGGUAGCAAUUUUUAUUGGGCCUAAAGCGUCCGUAGCCGGUUUAAUAAGUCUCUGGUGAAAUCCUGCAGCUUAACUGUGGGAAUUGCUGGAGAUACUAUUAGACUUGAGAUCGGGAGAGGUUAGAGGUACUCCCAGGGUAGAGGUGAAAUUCUGUAAUCCUGGGAGGACCGCCUGUUGCGAAGGCGUCUAACUGGAACGAUUCUGACGGUGAGGGACGAAAGUUAGGGGCGCGAACCGGAUUAGAUACCCGGGUAGUCCUAACCGUAAACGAUGCGGACUUGGUGUUGGGGUGGCUUUGAGCUGCUCCAGUGCCGAAGGGAAGCUGUUAAGUCCGCCGCCUGGGAAGUACGGUCGCAAGACUGAAACUUAA
rnacentral:rRNA from 1 species